ACAGCCAGCAGCCUCCAACAGCUACACGACACGUCCUGCAGCUUAAAGUCCACCUGGGUCAUCGCAGCUCAGCCCUGACAUCACACCCUGUGCUGAAAGGAGCAUGAAGGCUGCCGGAGCUCUUCACCGGUCCGUCCAAACUCAGCUCCUCCUCCGGUACAAAGCAGC